AUGAACGCUGGCGGCGUGCCUAAUACAUGCAAGUCGAGCGAACAGAUGAGGAGCUUGCUCCUCUGACGUUAGCGGCGGACGGGUGAGUAACACGUGGAUAACCUACCUAUAAGACUGGGAUAACUUCGGGAAACCGGAGCUAAUACCGGAUAAUAUAUUGAAUCGCAUGGUUCAAUAGUGAAAGACGGUUUUGCUGUCACUUAUAGAUGGAUCCGCGCCGCAUUAGCUAGUUGGUAAGGUAACGGCUUACCAAGGCAACGAUGCGUAGCCGACCUGAGAGGGUGAUCGGCCACACUGGAACUGAGACACGGUCCAGACUCCUACGGGAGGCAGCAGUAGGGAAUCUUCCGCAAUGGGCGAAAGCCUGACGGAGCAACGCCGCGUGAGUGAUGAAGGUCUUCGGAUCGUAAAACUCUGUUAUUAGGGAAGAACAAAUGUGUAAGUAACUAUGCACGUCUUGACGGUACCUAAUCAGAAAGCCACGGCUAACUACGUG
rnacentral:rRNA from 1 species